rnacentral:lncRNA from 1 species
CUCAGGAUCAAAGUUUGCUCCCCACUGUGACAACUUUUUUCAAACACAGCUUUCCUCUUAAGUGCGUUGUUUUCACCACUCUGCUGUUUGGCCUAUUUUUUUAUUUUUUUUUCUGUUUGGUCUUGUCGAGGAUUCAGAUUUAAAUAUUCAGGUAAAGUCUCAUGAUACUGUAUCUGGGUUAAAAAGGGGGCCAAAGGUGCUGAAGUGUUUGUAGUAAAUAUUAUGUAACACCUUCCCUGACAGCUCAUUUUGCUGCAUGAUGUGCUGAAAUCUGUGGGAAAAAGUAAUCUGAAGACCUUGAGAUUUUUCAUUAUUUUUUAAAUGACUCCUCACUCCUCCACUUUUACUCACUAUUAGGUUUGAUAUUAUGAAUCAACAUAAAGAAAGAUGUUAGGUUACUCUUUUAUUUCUCUUUUUCUGGUACGAGGGAUUAAUGAUGUUGUUUGGUUGAAUAUUUGCUUAAAAAAUUGAUCACUGUGCUGAAAAUAAAAAACACAGUUGCCAAAACCACAUGGAGAAAUUGUGCAAAUUUGUGAUGGAUUGUGAUGACAUUCAGUGAGCAGCAGCACUGACAUGAACUCAGUGUUGCUGCUGACGAGUUAAAUACUAAUGCUGUGAUGUGUCAGCUCUUUACAAAUGAAGAAUUACAGUUUUCUUUGAAACUCAUUGACAGUAUGUAUUUAAGUCUUCCCACAAGGUUUUAAAAAUACAAGACUCAGAGCACGUUUUCUACCCACGAACAAAAACUCAUGAUGAGUUAUGGGGAAAUAACAUGACAACACAAACAUGCAAUAUCUCAUGGCUGUUUUUUUUUUAAGCUGAAGUCAGGAUUUUGUUUUGUGGCAAUAAAUAUAUAUAUAUUUUAAAUCACUUUCUCUUGACUAAGAGGAACUAAAGUGUGCCUAUGAUGAGGAAAUGUAUCUCUCAUUACUGAUUUCACGAUGGACCGUCAAACCUUUGAAGACAUGAUCAUAAAAUCAAAACAAACUACAGUCAUUUGACCACACCAUGACUAAAUCGGCUAAUCAGUCUUGCUUCAAAGUUGCUGAAAACCUGAACAAACUGCGUCUCAUUGAAGAAAAAAAAGGAACCAAUAGACCCUUUGGAGUUUCCUUUAUAGCAACAUCCCAUGAUGCAGGAGGAACAUCCGGCAGGGCUAAGAUGGCCUGCAGAUAAUGGUACAGUCCAUUGAUCUAGUCCACUCCCCUGCAAAAAAAGACAUUUUGAACAAGCAUCACUGGACCAAGGCAGACUUGAGACAUCCAAACAAUGGCUGUUUUGAACUGCUGCGGUCAGAAAAAGCAAUGCCACAGUCACAGGGCAAGAGUGGGAAAGUUUUAGAGAAGCGGCCCUUACCAGGCCUGAGCCUGAGACUUUUAACUGCUGCAAUAUUUUAACAUGUAGCUGUAAAUGGGAUUUUUAGAGAUGAGCUUGUGUGAUUUGGAUUAAUAUAAACUUUUUGUUAUUAAGUAGAUUGUUUGCCUUUGAUUUAUUUGUUAUUAGCCGAUAAGAUGGCACAAUUACAGUCAGGAUCAUGUCCCACCUGGUCAGUGAAGUAGGACAUAGUAUCUCUUGUUUAGGGUUGAAAAAUACAAUAUUAUAUUAAACAGACUAUGCUAAGUGGCUGCAUCUUUAUACGAUGAAUAGAAAUUUCCUUUCUGGAGACUUUGGAUUGAUUUACUGUGUAAGACAACAAAAUCAAAGUUGAGUUAUUAAAGCCGAACCAGUGAUUUUACCCACAUUUUUACUUUCUUACAAUAUUUCUAUCAAUCCAAAAUUAUUUUAAUGACACUUUUUUUCUGUUUUCCUGGGGAUUCCUGGUUUCAUGGUGUUUGAAUUGCAUCUCAGGAAAAAAAAAGUUUUUGAACUGAGUUAAUCAGUUUUUAAAGAUUAUGAUAUUUACUAUAAUUUUGAUGUGCCGAGAUUAUCAAACCACUCAAUCAGCCUCUGCUAUAUUGGCUGAUAUGAGGCAGAAGAUCUUUAACAGCCUGAACCAUCUUCAUAAGGAGAAAGGUGCUUCAGAUGCUUUAAGCAAAUUCAAAAACAAAUGGUGAAGUCCAAAAGAAAGGUGGAAAAGUGGAAAUGUGGCAUGCUGCAAAAAGCAGAAACAAUUGCAUAAACAGCAAACAUGUUGCUAAUACACAAACAAUGCUGAGCCAAAACACCCAAAAGCAGACAACAUACCAGCAAAUGUUAAAUACUCCAAAGCAAGACUUGCUAAUGGAAAUCCUCCAGGCAGCAAAGUGAAACAGCUUCAUUAUUUACAGAACAGAGAGAAGAAGAGCAGAGGCUGAACUUCGCUCUGAAGAUUGUUUAGACUGUUACAGAUCCUUUAGCUUUCUCAGCUCUUGUACCAUAAACCAGAUCUUUAUAGCUAAAACUGUGAAGACCAAGAUCAAGUAAGAAUGUUUUCUGUACUCUCAUUGGUAGAUUAAUUCUACUCUCUUCAUUAUAUUCAAAGAAUACGAGCUGGACCCGAUCUGUAUGUAAAUAAUUAUGAGAUAACUUUACAAUCAGGAGCUAUGAAUAGAAAUUGACUGACUGAUACUUGUGGCUGAGGUAAGAGAUCCAGCUUGUGUGCUCACACGUUCACCUCUCAUUUCCUAAACAACAAUAAACUGAGUGUUCUCUUGUAUUUUAUAACAUACAUACAUCUCACAUGGUCCAGUUUAAUUCAGUUGUGUAUACAGUCUGGAUUUGUCAUUACAUUUGUGCACUUUUCCCCACUGACCCACUAAGAUGGAUCUCUUUUUUAUGUUUUCAGGAUGGGAUUCAUAUCUGCUGCCUCUGCAGGAUGACUGAGAAACAAAACAUGCCCACUGUGCAUCAUGUUGCACCAACAACUCUCUGGGGAGGCGAUGGGUCAACAUGCCGCUAAGAAAUUCCCGAGACUCUUUUUAGUGAUUUAGUUUUGGUGUAAACACCAUGGCAGAUGUGGUUCUCAACCACAUGAAGGACUCAGCUCUGAGGUUUUACCUAAUAUUGCUGAAGACUGCAGUUUGUUCACAACAUAAUCCUCAAAAGAGAAGCUCUUUGACAGGGCUGUGUUCAUCUCAAUGCAAACCAUCACUGUUUUAUUUGGUGAGUCUUUGUGCUUUUUAGACUUUUUCUCUUGUUUUUGAGGCAGUCAGAGUAAUUCGGUUUUCUUUUCAAGUAGCAGACCUCCACGAAGUCUGACAUCUGCUGUGUAAAUAUGCCUGCCCCACAUGGCUCUGCUUCAUAUCACUCUCCAUGUUGUGGCGUCAUCUUAUGCAGUCACCGAAGCUGUCUUUUAGGUUUUAACUAACCUUCAGCGCUGCAGCAUCAUCAGUACUCUGCUGGCAUAUCUCCACGUUUGUACAGGUCAACUAUCAGGUCCUCUACACUUUAUUGCUCUUUUACGUGAGAGCCGGAGCGCCUGGCAUCUAUUAAAAACAUAUUGGAUUCACACACAGUCACACACGCUUGUGUAGUCAUAGUUGUCAUAGCUUCCCAGCUUGCACGUGGGUCUUAUUUAUCGAGCUGGAGCCAACAGCCUCUUUCAUCUUUUAUCUCGGGUUUAAUUUUCUCGUUCAACCUUUUUGAAAGUGACACAUUGUUUGAAACCAGUGGCGGUCCUGGAGGCAACAAGGGCUUUGGCUUUGACUUGCACAAGUGAAAACAGAAACCUCUUCACACACAUUCACAGUCGGGGUCAGUAGGAGACUCAAGGGAACUUCCCUGUAUUCUUCAACCAGGGUUUACUAUCUCAUGAUUGUUGCCAUUCUGACUAUAAGUCUUGCAAACAUUGCACCCCCUUAGAAAACAAAGCAUCGGUCUCCAGAAAAAGAGUGUCAAAAUAAUGCAUAUGAUGAGGGAAAACCACAUGAGCUUUUUUCCUGCAGCUUUUAAAAUAAAGUUCAGUUUUACAUAAAUAAUCCGAAACACUUGUCCCUCAGGCUGACCUUAUGAAGACACUGAGAUUUCUCCUGUGGAUGAGCUACUUCAACUAACAGCACGAGGAUUAACCUCUGGAGUGCUUUCUAACCUCACUGGUAUAUUUACCUCAUGCAUUAUUCACUCUGGAUAGAGCCAGUGUUUGGAAAGUCACUGGAAAUUAGUGAUUUUUUAUGAUUAACAGAUACAACCAUCAAAAAGAAAACAAAUGAUGAACUGCGAGAUAAAAGUGAUUUCUCAGAAAAGUCACUGCAUGUUCUCUAACUAUUUUUGCUUCACUAAUGCACAAUGCCCCUGAUCUCACUUGGCUGAUUACUUCUCUUAAAGCAGCAGACUGGACAGUUACAAGCAUGUCUUCAACAACAUACCAUGCAAUCAGCUUGUUAAGUCCUUCCUGGCUUACAAAUUGCACUGGCUGUGAUUUAAUGUCAAGUUUAGGCGGUUUAGAGGGAAAGACUUCCUCUUGGUCUGCCAAGCUGGGUCCCUGAUGUUUGCAGCACAAGGCUAGUAGAGGGAAUUGUUGGGUUAAAGCUCCUGUGAGGAGUUUUUUGACAUUCAUGAAAGAGACUGAAAGUCCUAUUGAUGCCUUUUUGUGAUAUCUGAAAGCAAACAAGAUCAUCAGGAACAAGACUGAGCAUUUUCAUAUCCUAAUUUUUAAUGACUAAACCUGCUAUAAAGAGGUAGGUGUCGAUGGAGCAGCUGAGUGAAUAUCCCUGUUUUUUAUUUUUUAUUUCCACGUAAAAUGUUCAUAAUAAGUAACACCCUUGACUGUCAAAAUUGAUAAGAUGAUGAUAAGAAUUUUUUUAUUCAAAAGUCCCCACCAAGCAUGCAGAGGCUGCUUUGCCCCCUCACAUGUUUGUCUCUUUUUAUUCCUGUUUUGAAACAAGCUAGCCUGUCACAGUCAGAGUCACCGGUAAAUUAAAGUACAGAAGAGAUUUUAUGUGAUUUUAUGCAUUUCUGCACCGGUAUCAGCCAAAAUGAGUUUGAAAAUAUAUGCAAAUCUGGAAAAAAUCUAAUAACAUGCAUCUUUAACUUCCUCUCACUACCAUUUCCUUGUUCCAUAUUUCUUACUUCCAAGACAGCUCUUGGGUCGUAACCAAGAACUGACAUUUUUAUUGAGGCAGUAUCCUAGAAAGAAAACAAACUAAUGCAAACAAGCAAUGCUUCCUGCAAGGGUUUGUUUAUGAGAAGUUACACCUGCAAAGUUCAGGACCUGGACUGACCAUAAUCUGGAAAUAUCUUCAAGUCACAUAAGCAACCUUUCUUUUCUUACACGUGCAGGACUCAUGGCUGUUGUCCAGCUAUAAAUACUUAAUGCAUUCUUUUGUUUUUCUACAACAAUUUAAAACAAUUGCCACUGCAAAGAAACAGCACCUAUGGUACUAAUUUGUUUCAUCAAGUACAUGGUCAUGUCAAAUGUAAUAGAUUAUGUUCAAAGACUUUGGGUUUCAAGGGAAUGAAACACUAAAUUUAUGUACUGCCAUAAACAGGAGGUUUCCAUGGAUGCCCAAAAGCCCUUUUGUUAGGCUAAGUGAAAGACUGUGUUUCUAGUUAAAUGGUAUUGUCAAAUGUUAGUAAGCCAAAUGUAAUCCAGUGGCAUUAAGUUUCCUCCAUCAUUUAUUUGAUGUUUCAAAUAAACUAUAAUUGAUGUUA